UUAAGUUAUUAAGGGCGCACGGUGGAUGCCUUGGCACUAGAAGCCGAUGAAGGACGUUACUAACGACGAUAUGCUUUGGGGAGCUGUAAGUAAGCUUUGAUCCAGAGAUUUCCGAAUGGGGAAACCCAGCAUGAGUUAUGUCAUGUUAUCGAUAUGUGAAUACAUAGCAUAUCAGAAGGCACACCCGGAGAACUGAAACAUCUUAGUACCCGGAGGAAGAGAAAGAAAAUUCGAUUCCCUUAGUAGCGGCGAGCGAAACGGGAAGAGCCCAAACCAACAAGCUUGCUUGUUGGGGUUGUAGGACACUCUAUACGGAGUUACAAAGGACGACAUUAGACGAAUCAUCUGGAAAGAUGAAUCAAAGAAGGUAAUAAUCCUGUAGUCGAAAAUGUUGUCUCUCUUGAGUGGAUCCUGAGUACGACGGAGCACGUGAAAUUCCGUCGGAAUCUGGGAGGACCAUCUCCUAAGGCUAAAUACUCUCUAGUGACCGAUAGUGAACCAGUACCGUGAGGGAAAGGUGAAAAGCACCCCGGAAGGGGAGUGAAAUAGAACCUGAAACCGUGUGCUUACAAGUAGUCAGAGCCCGUUAAUGGGUGAUGGCGUGCCUUUUGUAGAAUGAACCGGCGAGUUACGAUUUGAUGCAAGGUUAAGCAGUAAAUGUGGAGCCGUAGCGAAAGCGAGUCUGAAUAGGGCGUUUAGUAUUUGGUCGUAGACCCGAAACCAGGUGAUCUACCCUUGGUCAGGUUGAAGUUCAGGUAACACUGAAUGGAGGACCGAACCGACUUACGUUGAAAAGUGAGCGGAUGAACUGAGGGUAGCGGAGAAAUUCCAAUCGAACCUGGAGAUAGCUGGUUCUCUCCGAAAUAGCUUUAGGGCUAGCCUCAAGUGAUGAUUAUUGGAGGUAGAGCACUGUUUGGACGAGGGGCCCCUCUCGGGUUACCGAAUUCAGACAAACUCCGAAUGCCAAUUAAUUUAACUUGGGAGUCAGAACAUGGGUGAUAAGGUCCGUGUUCGAAAGGGAAACAGCCCAGACCACCAGCUAAGGUCCCAAAAUAUAUGUUAAGUGGAAAAGGAUGUGGCGUUGCCCAGACAACUAGGAUGUUGGCUUAGAAGCAGCCAUCAUUUAAAGAGUGCGUAAUAGCUCACUAGUCGAGUGACACUGCGCCGAAAAUGUACCGGGGCUAAACAUAUUACCGAAGCUGUGGAUUGUCCUUUGGACAAUGGUAGGAGAGCGUUCUAAGGGCGUUGAAGCAUGAUCGUAAGGACAUGUGGAGCGCUUAGAAGUGAGAAUGCCGGUGUGAGUAGCGAAAGACGGGUGAGAAUCCCGUCCACCGAUUGACUAAGGUUUCCAGAGGAAGGCUCGUCCGCUCUGGGUUAGUCGGGUCCUAAGCUGAGGCCGACAGGCGUAGGCGAUGGAUAACAGGUUGAUAUUCCUGUACCACCUAUAAUCGUUUUAAUCGAUGGGGGGACGCAGUAGGAUAGGCGAAGCGUGCGAUUGGAUUGCACGUCUAAGCAGUAAGGCUGAGUAUUAGGCAAAUCCGGUACUCGUUAAGGCUGAGCUGUGAUGGGGAGAAGACAUUGAGUCUUCGAGUCGUUGAUUUCACACUGCCGAGAAAAGCCUCUAGAUAGAAAAUAGGUGCCCGUACCGCAAACCGACACAGGUAGUCAAGAUGAGAAUUCUAAGGUGAGCGAGCGAACUCUCGUUAAGGAACUCGGCAAAAUGACCCCGUAACUUCGGGAGAAGGGGUGCUCUUUAGGGUUAACGCCCAGAAGAGCCGCAGUGAAUAGGCCCAAGCGACUGUUUAUCAAAAACACAGGUCUCUGCUAAACCGUAAGGUGAUGUAUAGGGGCUGACGCCUGCCCGGUGCUGGAAGGUUAAGAGGAGUGGUUAGCUUCUGCGAAGCUACGAAUCGAAGCCCCAGUAAACGGCGGCCGUAACUAUAACGGUCCUAAGGUAGCGAAAUUCCUUGUCGGGUAAGUUCCGACCCGCACGAAAGGCGUAACGAUUUGGGCACUGUCUCAACGAGAGACUCGGUGAAAUCAUAGUACCUGUGAAGAUGCAGGUUACCCGCGACAGGACGGAAAGACCCCGUGGAGCUUUACUGUAGCCUGAUAUUGAAAUUCGGCACAGCUUGUACAGGAUAGGUAGGAGCCUUUGAAACGUGAGCGCUAGCUUACGUGGAGGCGCUGGUGGGAUACUACCCUAGCUGUGUUGGCUUUCUAACCCGCACCACUUAUCGUGGUGGGAGACAGUGUCAAGCGGGCAGUUUGACUGGGGCGGUCGCCUCCUAAAAGGUAACGGAGGCGCUCAAAGGUUCCCUCAGAAUGGUUGGAAAUCAUUCAUAGAGUGUAAAGGCAUAAGGGAGCUUGACUGCGAGACCUACAAGUCGAGCAGGGUCGAAAGACGGACUUAGUGUUCCUUGGGCAGCGAAACCGCGAGGUCAAGCAAAUCCCAU
rnacentral:rRNA from 1 species